CUGGGGAUGCAGUUUGUAUGUGUGCUGGGGAUGAAGUGUGUCUCUGUGUGUUUGUGUGCUGGGGAUGAAGUGUGUAUGUGUGUGUGCCUGGGAUGCAGUGUGUGUAUGCUGGGGAUGUGCAGUGCAGUAAACUCAAUACACUUGAAUUCUUGGUAGUGGUGUGGCUCCUAGCUCAAGUGGAGUCUGAACAGAGCACUGACAUAACUCUUGAGCGCAUCCCCUUCCACUAUGAUGAGUUGCUGUUGUUUUCUGUAACAAAUCUCGUAAUGGAUGAUCCCAACAGUUAUGUGGGGCCAUCACUGAGGCAUCAAAAUAGUUAUGACUCUGGUGAUUCAGUUGAC